GACGAACGCUGGCGGCGUGCUUAACACAUGCAAGUCGAGCGAGCGGCGGACGGGUGAGUAAUGUCUGGGAAACUGCCUGAUGGAGGGGGCUAACUACUGGAAACGGUAGCUAAUACCGCAUACAAUCAGAUGUGCCCAGAUGGGAUUAGCUAGUAGGGGGGGUAACGGCUAACCUAGGCGACCAUCCCUAGCUGGUCUGAGAGGAUGACCAGCCACACUGGAAAGGAGACACGGUCCAGACUCCUACGGGAGGCAGAUGGGGGGAAUAUUGAACAAUGGGCGCAAGCCUGAUGCAGCCAUGACGCGUGUGUGAAGAAGGCCUUCGGGUUGGAAAGCACUUUCAGCGGGGAGGCGUUACCCGCAGAAGAAGCACCGGCUAACUCCGUGCCAGCAGCCGCGGUAAUAC
rnacentral:rRNA from 1 species